AUGUACUCCUUUAGUCUAAUUCCGCUUGUGCUUUGCAUCGCCAUACAAGUUGGUGGUGUAAAAUAUUGCUAUGAAAAACAUUGUGUUAACUGUGAUACGAAAAUCGACAUCAAGCAAUGUCCAGAUAUACAUUCUCUUUGUGCUUCCAACUUUUUUACAGAUUCGAUUGGGAAUACUGAACGAGUUAAAACAUGCGUCACUCCUGACAGUUUAACUUUUUGGUUACAUCGUUGUAACUAUUUCAAUAAACAAGGAGGGUCUUGUUAUUUGUGUAACGAAGAAUUGUGUAAUUUUCAAGACUAGAGUACACAUUUACAUAGACAAUGGACAUGAACAGUUAAAAUUACUGAGAAUUAGAACAAGAAAUUGUGACCUUUAUUAUUAAUAAAAAUUGUGUGUAAAAUAAUGUUUUAUUUCGUGUAUUUGUCGAAAUCAGGAUUUGUUCCAGAUCAGUGUAACGUUUUUAAAUUAAGAAUCUUGUUGCAUAAUUAUGGUUAAGUAGGGCAUGUCACAAAAUUACAUAAAUUAUAAUUACCAAGUAUGCUUAAUACAGAACGGA